UUUUAACCUAAAUUAGAGGAUGUAGGUCGAGCUGAACCAAAGACAUUUACAUCGAAUUAGGAAUUUGUAGGUUCUCAGAUAUUUAUCUUGGUGAUAAGGGUUUAGCUAUUAUUUGGCCAAUGGUGUGGUACCUCAUUUUCAACAUCAUCCAUAUGGAGAAGAAUGUGCAUACCUGCACGUUGACAACUUAUGCACUGCAUAUUGACACAUGAGAAUAUUAGAAUAACAAGACAAUGUAACUUUUAUUAUUUUUUCAAUACAAGUAAUCAGAAUUCUCAUUAGUCUUAUAGAAAUAGUUCUGGCUUAAAUCUGUUCACUUACUUCUCUAAAUGUCAUGGAUUAAAGGCAAUCAGUUCAAUAAAUUGUAUGUAAUUCUAUGUUUAAGGGUCUGAUGUAUUCUGAAGGGGCUACAUAGAGAAAUAGCAUUUACUUAAAUGGAAGCAGGUGAAAUAAAGUUCAGUCCUGUCUGAGAUUUGGUCUGUGGAAGACCAAAUGGAGGCAGCACACAUCCUUUGUCGAUUGAUGACCUUGGCAAACUGGUUAUAUUCUUUGACUGGUUGGAGUACACCAAGUGACCCCUGAAGUCCAUUCCAAACUUGAGGAAAUAUCAUCACUUCAGAACUUCAGCUGACAACCCAGUGAGUGAAUUCAUGAGAGAGCAUGUCAAGGACAGUGAGAUUGAAGUUAAAAUUGACAAGCCUACAACAAUGGCUUUUCCAUGGAGAGUAUCCUGAACGCAUUCAACUAAAAGGACUUGAUGCAAAAAGGCUCUGAUCCCUUAAAUAACUGAAAAAAAACUUUUCAGUAUACUGAUAUGUGAUCUUUAUAAACUAAAUUUAAAAUUUGAGAAUGAUCCGUUACUGAGCUGAUGAAAACGUGUAUCAAUUUUUAUUGACAAUUAUUUAUUCAAUAGAAACAUGUUUAUGUGAAAUAAGGCUACCAGUGAUUUCGAGUGAUAAACUGUGGUUUUAGCCAAUGAGUGAUGGAAGGGUGCUGCACCCAGUCUUUUGUUUGUAGAACUCUUAUGCCAUAAUGGAGACCACUAUAUGAUUAUUAAUUAUUAAUACAAACUUAAAAAAAGCUGGCAGUUGAAGCCUAUAAAUGCUUGAGUUAAAGACAUUUAUAAUAUUGUUUGUCAAAAUUAGUUACUUCACAGCCUGUACCUUAGCAACCUUUCAGUUUUUCUGCAAUAUCUUCAUUUUUAAAACCUUCCUGAACCCUAUAAACAUUUUUAACUUUUACCCUAUGAAUAAGCAUCAAGAAUACCAUUUGUCAUGUACUAUGUGACCAAUUGCACUUCUUGAAACUACAUAAUGAUGUGUACAUGUUAAGUAGUUAGUAUGUUAAAUUAAUUGUUUUCAUUUUGUAAAUGUGACCAUUUAUUAACUGAUCUUUUUAUACAUUAGUGUAAAUUAUGCAGUAUUGUUAUGUUUAUUAAAUUAAGAGUAUAUUAACCACCAUUUCAUGUUUUAUGAGCAAUGAAUAACUAUACAAUGAUCACAUUUGAGGUAAAUUGGUAAAGUUGGUGUGAUUAUAAUCAUGUUUGUGCCUGUUGCCAUGGUAACCAGGAUAAAAACAAACCCUUAAAGAUCAUUCAAUUAAGAUAAAGUAUAGUAAAUUACAGUGGUUACAUCCUUUAACCUCCAGAUAUACAUUGGUUUGUAUAAGGGCAAGUUACAAUCUAAUGUAAAUAUAUUGUGAAAAAUUUCCAAUAAACUACGGUACUUGGCGAACAGUUUUUAUUAAUUCUGACAUUUGUCAAAUACAUACACCAGGUACAAUAAGGUUUGAGGAUAUCAAUUAACAAAUCAAUUAUUACUGAAUGCUUCAGAUGACAUUUAUUGUAUAUUUACAUGCAAAUUUAACCCCAAAACGCCUUUUUUCAAUAAUGGUUGCCAUGGUAACCAAUUAAUUUUAAUUUAUUUUCUCAAUAAUAAUUGAGAAUGGUUUUGAAAAUAUGUUGUUGUCGUUAUAAUGUGGGAAUUGUGUAUUUAGUAGUAAUGCAUAUUUAUUGCAUCUGUGAAUACAAAUGUUUCAAUAAAUUCUUGAACUUCA